AUCGACCUCAGAUUAGACGAGAUUACCCGCCGAAUUUAAGCAUAUAAUUAGGCGGAG
rnacentral:rRNA from 1 species